rnacentral:snRNA from 1 species
GGCCUUUCUCAGCCUUUUGGCUACGAUCAGUCUGUUCUUAUCAGUUUAAUAUCUGAUACGUGGGCUAUAUGUCCACUUCGGCCCCUUGCGCGUCGCCCAGCCGUUGCACUGCUGGCCGGGCCUGGCGCGCCCCAA